UACGUAGGGGGCGAGCGUUGUCCGGAUUUAUUGGGCGUAAAGAGCUCGUAGGCGGUUUGGUAAGUUGGAUGUGAAAUCUCCAGGCUCAACUUGGAGGGGUCAUUCGAUACUGCCAUGACUAGAGUUCGGUAGGGGAGUGUGGAAUUCCUGGUGGAGCGGUGAAAUGCGCAGAUAUCAGGAGGAACACCUAAUGGCGAAGGCAGCUCGCUGGGACGUUACUGACGCUGAGACGCGAAAGCGUGGGGAGCAAACAGG
rnacentral:rRNA from 1 species